GGAAUAUUGGACAAUGGGCGAAAGCCUGAUCCAGCCAUGCCGCGUGUGUGAAGAAGGUCUUCGGAUUGUAAAGCACUUUAAGUUGGGAGGAAGGGUAUUAACCUAAUACGUUAGUACUUUGACGUUACCGACAGAAUAAGCACCGGCUAACUCUGUGCCAGCAGCCGCGGUAAUACAGAGGGUGCAAGCGUUAAUCGGAAUUACUGGGCGUAAAGCGCGCGUAGGUGGUUUGUUAAGUUGAAUGUGAAAUCCCCGGGCUCAACCUGGGAACUGCAUCCAAAACUGGCAAGCUAGAGUAUGGUAGAGGGUAGUGGAAUUUCCUGUGUAGCGGUGAAAUGCGUAGAUAUAGGAAGGAACACCAGUGGCGAAGGCGACUACCUGGACUGAUACUGACACUGAGGUGCGAAAGCGUGGGGAGCAAACAGGAUUAGAUACCCUUG
rnacentral:rRNA from 1 species